rnacentral:lncRNA from 1 species
AUAAACGAUAAGGUUAAUAAGGUUAUUAGGUUCGCUUCAGAUCUCUAAAAUGUCGGUUGGGCAAGCUCUAUUCAAAGUCAAUCCAUUGGUUAACAGUUUAAAUUUUAAACGUUUUGCUAGUGGAACUGGAAGAAAAGCUAUGUCGACUUCUUACCGGAUUUUUGCCGUAGCUGUAAUUGGUACUGCUUUACUUGGACUUCCUACACUUCUAAUGAUAACUCGACCCAAGCCGAAGGAGUAAUCAAUGAAUUUUCUCUUUUUGGAUUUUAUAAAGACUGAAAGAAGUUAUGAUAUUAAAAUAAUCAUUAAAAAAA